ACUUCAUUUCCCUUGCCAACUCUUCUUCAUGUAUUCCAUCGUUUCGAUUUGCUCAUGUUUCUCUCUUUGUUUUACGAUUUCUCUUUCUAUAUUCUUAUCCUUUUCUUCUUCUCUUUGUUACACACAAAAUCAACCGUCUUCCUUCUGCUACAGAUUUCCACGCAGACAUCAUUCACGCAAUGCAAUAUCGUGCGCGCGGAAAUAAAAUGCGCGGCUACUGAUCUAUCGAUAAGUACAAAGUUCUAACUGUGUAUACACCCAGAUAUUUCAAAUAUGCACAAGAUAUCACUGUUGGAUGAAGAUCUUUCAAACAUUGGACGUGACACAAGCAAGAUGAUACCAACAAAUAUAUGCAAUUUAAUGAAUAAGAGAAUAAUCAAGGAAGAAAAAAAGCCAUCAUCGUCGCCGAUCUGCUCCCCAAUCUGUUCGCGGCUACUGGUAGGGCCCAUCUCGGCGCCGCGGCGCCUACCUUAGACUCGGUUGUCACUAUUUUCAACGGAUUGAAACAGCCACAGCUUCGUGAUCCUAUGUCCUCGUAUACGAGGAACGAUGCGAGAACAAAGCAAUCACCAGCCGGAUGACACCUUGUCCGGGCAGUCCGCUGCGCCCCCUUUCGAUUUAUAAGCUAUCCAUUGGCGAUACAUGAACAAUCCUGGAAGUCGUAGCUGCUCGAUGACAGCUUCUUCCGGGCUACUUAGCGCGUCUUUUUUUUCCUUUGUUUCUCAAACUUUUUUUUCUUUCACUUCCUCGAUGUUACAAUACACUACAAUACUUGAAGAUGAAAGAAACACAUCUUCUUAAAACUUGAACAUUUGUCAAAGGAUAAUAAAUUGCUCCUUUGGUGCUAGAACGUUG